ACUUCCUCGGAUCAGGCACGCUGGCUUUCCAAGGAGAAUUGGCGAACCCUUGACGUACGCGGCGUUGCAGAUAGAUGACCGAAAGUUUGAGCCUCAGACUUGAGGUCUUCAGACUCUGUGUGUGUGUGUCCCCUCACCCCCCGAUUGUUUUGUUGCCAUCGAUCAGACAAAUAGACGGUGCUGCCGCAGAAGGAACUGGACGACGAAUGUCCAUGCAGGAAAACAGCCCACGUCCAACUCAACGCCUUGCAAGCAAAUAAGCCCCCAUUCAUUCGGAGGGAGCUUUGCUUCCAAGCAGCGUGUCCGGCUAUAGCAACAGCCCAGCGGUGAUCAAAACGGUGGCUCGGAGGCGAGCGGCUUACUCCAGGAGUAGGGAAAACCAAGGUCUCCGAUUUCACUGCUUUUCUUUUUUUUAAGGAUCAGUUUUUAUGUUGUUGUUUCACACCAGGCGAACAAAUGGCACGUCGGGCAACCCAUGGGCUCGCCUUAUCCCUUCCCAAGUGACGCCCCCACCCCAGCCCCUUCAUUCCACUUUAUAUAAGCCGAAGUAGAGGCACUCCCGAUCUGAUUGACACGGUUGGGUGCGACGCGAUCCUCCCCGCGGUGCCCAUUAGACAGAAGCCCGUUGCGAACGUCGAGUCCCGAGUUGGUGCCUCUAGCAUUUCUCAAGCCAGAGGCUUCCUUUCGUGUAAACGUGCAAUAUGAUCCGGCAGCACAUCUCUCCCGCCCCAAAACUAUUCGGAUCGGAUCCAAAGCGCCUUCUGACGCCGACCUACGGUUCAGAUCCGCGCGUGUUUACACUAGAGGAAGCGAGCUGCCUGCCAUGCAAAGCGGUCCUUGUGUUGAAAUGGAAGCAUCUGGGAGGUAGCAGAUGCCAGUUUGCUCUGCCUUAACCAUGUCUGAUUACUCUGGUCGUAUAAAUAAGCCGGGCUGGUCCCCCUCAUCCCAACCAUCCCUGUUUGUUUUGCUCAGGUUCGGGUUGACGUUUCCGGAUGCCUUGUUUACCUUUCCCUGGCCAUCCUUAGGCCACCUCUCGCCGCCUUCCCCAGCUCCUCACGGUUCUCGCCAUCGGCCGUGUCGGGGGCCGGUGAGCGCUGUUGACAGAAUUUUUAAAAUAAAUAGAUAAACGGCAGAGUUUAUUUGUGUUUAAGGGGAUUAGCCAGGACUUUGACAAAACUGGAUUUGAGGCUUGCGGAGGUCCACCUCCCCACCCCACCCCCGUCAGAAGGAGGAAGGGUGCCCUCGGCAGUGUCGCCCAGCAAGCUUUGAAAUCGACUGGAUUUCCCCAAAUGAAGUGGCCUGAGAUUGCAGAAGAUCUUGGGGGGCAGUUCCGACCUCGAGGAGAGCUAGAAAGCAGAGAGCAAGAAUCAGAGCAUGGUCUGUGCUGUUGAAAAAAGGAACUGAGCGCUGAAGUACCUUAAAACUGGUGUGCCUUAUUGAAUACCUGGAGGAAAACGAGGGGUGCGCGCAGCGAUCACACGACGUGGCCUUGGCUAUGACAAAACCGGCUUCAGUGUUUCUCCAGAAAUCCAGCGGCCGGUGACCUUGGAGGCAACAUCUUAAGCCGACCUGCCUCACAAUGAUCUGGUUGGGUGGUUGUUGGGAGUUUGAGAAAAAACACAUGGAAAAUACUCGAUGUAAGCCGUUUUCGACCCUUUUUAGUAAAUGGCUGCGCCUUUGUUUUGGAGAGUGAUUCUUUUAGAACUUGAAUAACACCCACAGCUUUUCCCCUCACGCGUGCAAAUCACUUCCUAGAAAAUGCCCAGCGCAACCUGCAAGUCUAGGAUUAAUAGGGGUGGGGAGCAGGCGAACCCGGUCGCCACCCAUAAUCCAGGAGUUCCCUGGAGGAAAUGUACUUUUCAUCUACAAACCAGGAAUGGAUCCGAAGCUGGAAGUUAAAGUCAGGUUGCAAUCCUCAGGCUAUUUCUUUGACAGUUAACCUCCUCGAAACAAACAGGAUCCCUUCCAGAGAAUAUAAGGUGGGAUCGUUAACGUGGCAUUUCUGUUUCAGAAAUCUGAAUUAAAGAGGACGCUCUCUGGGCCCAUAUGUCUGGGGACACCGUUGCUACAAUGGAGGCUGCCUUCUGUCCACUGGUCCAUGUAGCUCACUGCUGUCUACAUUGACCGGCAGCUGCUCUCCAAGGUUCAUGACUGGAGGUAUUGUAAGCCCUACCCGGAGGUGCUGGGGAUUGAACCCAGGAGGUAGAGCUCAGCCAAUAUAGAGCAUGAGACACAUCAUCUCAGGGCCGUGUGUUCAAGCCCCGUGAUGGGCAAAAGAUGCCUUCAUUGCAAGGGGUUAGACUAAAUGACCCUCGUGGUCCCUUCCAAUUCUAUGCUUCUAUGACCUGCUAGGAUUAGAAAGGGGGUUUCCAGCUCUUGUAGGGACGUUUUAUACCCUGUGUGUAAUUUUUAGAGGAUCUAAGGCCAGAGCCCCACUGAGCCCCACUAGUUUCAGUUUCGACCAGACAUCACAGGACUGUGUGAAAGAAUCAGCAGGAGCAGGUUUUUGUUAUGGCACAGGGAAUGAUGUGGCAGAAGAGACUGGGCAAUGGGGCUGGGCAAUGGGGACGUGUCCACCUGUUUAAGCACAGACAGUGGAUGGACGGCUGGGAAUCCUGAGAGAAUGCCUUUGCAUCUCUGGAUCAAGGCCUCUGGGUGUUCCUAGCUUGGAUCAACCGUUUUGUUAGGAAUUAUGUGUUUUUGGUUUUCAUUUUUUAAUUAAUCUAUAUUUCUAAUAACCUUUGUAUCAUGGGGGGAGGAAAAAAACCACAUAUUGCCAUUUGCUCCUUAACUGGCCUUGGUGGGACCCUGAAUGCAGCUUUAAGGGAGACCGCAAUAGAUAAUUUUGCCUUGGAACAAGGGCGUAGCGACCAGAAAAUGAAAAUGCAUAGCAAGCGGUGGAUCAUAUGCAAUUGCCACACUAAAUUUAUUUCCCCAGCCAGUGUUGCCUCCUACCAGGAAUGGUGGUAGAUGCAUUGGCUGUGGCAAAAAGCAAAAUUGCUGUGAUGCGGGAUCAAAUGGCAAGAAAGACAUCUACAGACACGCUCUGUAAGAACCUCUCGCCACGACAGUCGGGCUUCUUCUGACUGCUUUGGGCCGCGCCUUCAAGUGUGGGAGGUGGUUUUGCGAACAAAAGACUGCGCCAGGCCCCCGCCCCGAGGCGCUUACACGUUGUAAUAAAUUAUAGAAUUAUAGAGUUGAAAGGGACCCAGAUGGUCAUCUAGUCCUUGCAGGAAUCCUGCUCACAGGAUUGGGCAAAGGGGUGGAAGAUGGAGAAAGGCUGAGCACUGAAGCUCUGCUUAGUUGCUGCAUAGUAGAGUCCUGCUUGUUCCCUUGCUCUCGACACCAUAAAUGAGCAACUCGCACCCGCAGUGUAUUUCAGCCAUACAGAAUCGGAGUCACACCGGAGUCACACCGCAACGCUCUUAAACGCCCGAAGAUGGGCGCGCAUCAAACCAGCUGGAAGGUUGGUUGCGUAGGGCGCGACGGGAUUGUGUGUGAGUUACCGUCGAAAGAGGCUCACCCUGCCACGAACCCCAUUGAACUGAACGAGAAGACGGGCAGCGCUCCCAGCUUCUGUUCCUUUCAAUGACUUCUCCGUGGAUCGGGCCCUCUGUCACGAUUAUUAUUCCAAGCGGGACUUGAAUUAUCGAUGCCACUGCGCAGCUCGCUCGGAUUCGGGGCGCACUGACUUACGCUAAAGUUAGCCGAGCACACGAGGACUUCCGACUCAACAUCCUCACCGUCGAGCUGUCGGGAUUUCGGCCGCUGGUUGGAGGCAGCGGACUCUAAACGCACCUUUUCCGCACACCCGGUUUCGGGAGGGCGGCUCGCUUUUCGGGUUUACGCAGGAAAUCGAUUCCUGCAAUGCAAGAGCCGUCGCCCAAGAGACACCGAGCCUUAGAAAUUCACUGUGUUUCAUCCCUUUUACAGAGUCUGAGUUAGCACGACCUUGAGACAUACUCUUCUCGCCCUUCAGGAGAUAGAUUGAUAGAUAAAAUGCACCGAAUUAAACUGGGAUAACGAGCGGAACGAGGAGUCACCCCUUCGCUUUCCUCCCGGAGCGUUUUUAUCAUAAUCGCUCUAGCAUUAGAUCUUAUUUGUAUUGCUUAAAAAAAAGGGGGGGUAUCACACACAUACACAAACAAAUACGAGUCUCGUAGCACCAAGACUAACAAAUGUAACUUCAGGCAUGUCUACUCGGAAGUAAGACUCACUGAGUUCAGUAGGCCUAGGGGAAGUGUUACGUGACUUCAGCUUUCUCCGGGCAGAAGCUUUUCUGAAUUGGAGUCCAUUUUUAUUAAAGAACAACCCGGGAAAACUUAA